UUCCGACCUGCACGAAUGGCGUAAUGAUGGCCAGGCUGUCUCCACCCGAGACUCAGUGAAAUUGAACUCGCUGUGAAGAUGCAGUGUACCCGCGGCAAGACGGAAAGACCCCGUGAACCUUUACUAUAGCUUGACACUGAACAUUGAGCCUUGAUGUGUAGGAUAGGUGGGAGGCUUUGAAGCGUGGACGCCAGUCUGCGUGGAGCCGACCUUGAAAUACCACCCUUUAAUGUUUGAUGUUCUAACGUGGACCCGUAAUCCGGGUUGCGGACAGUGUCUGGUGGGUAGUUUGACUGGGGCGGUCUCCUCCUAAAGAGUAACGGAGGAGCACGAAGGUUGGCUAAUCCUGGUCGGACAUCAGGAGGUUAGUGCAAUGGCAUAAGCCAGCUUGACUGCGAGCGUGACGGCGCGAGCAGGUGCGAAAGCAGGUCAUAGUGAUCCGGUGGUUCUGAAUGGAAGGGCCAUCGCUCAACGGAUAAAAGGUACUCCGGGGAUAACAGGCUGAUACCGCCCAAGAGUUCAUAUCGACGGCGGUGUUUGGCACCUCGAUGUCGGCUCAUCACAUCCUGGGGCUGAAGUAGGUCCCAAGGGUAUGGCUGUUCGCCAUUUAAAGUGGUACGCGAGCUGGGUUUAGAACGUCGUGAGACAGUUCGGUCCCUAUCUGCCGUGGGCGCUGGAGAACUGAGGGGGGCUGCUCCUAGUACGAGAGGACCGGAGUGGACGCAUCACUGGUGUUCGGGUUGUCAUGCCAAUGGCACUGCCCGGUAGCUAAAUGCGGAAGAGAUAAGUGCUGAAAGCAUCUAAGCACGAAACUUGCCCCGA
rnacentral:rRNA from 1 species